rnacentral:lncRNA from 1 species
GGAUUUCAAUGGCUGAAAGUCUACGGCAAAAGGUGGAGCCUGCCUACAAGUGAAGUUAGUUUACAACCACUUAGCGCCUCUCUUUAAUUUCUACUUCCAAGUUGCCUAAAUCUUUUCCAGAUACUUCAUAAAUCAUUUUUGUUUUGUUAAAAAUUGCCAAACAAACAAGUAGGAAGCCAAGAACAUUUGGCAAUAAAACCAGUGAUCUACAUUGAUGACUGAAGAGGUUAUUUUUGAAGUCAGCAGACUUCCCCUAGGGGCGGGAGUAACUCUCCUGAAGUGGGUACAGCCUCACAGAAAUCACCUGCUCAAAGUGUCAGAGAUGGGGUAUAAUCCCCUGUUUUACCUCCGACGAUCUAGUUAGCUUAGGUUAGGAGAAAGUAUUGAAAAAGCUUGUGAGCGAUAUACCUUGUAAAACCUAGCUCCCAGAAAAGAAAAAGAACCCCCCUUCAGUGUAGCUUCCUUGUAUUUAUAGGAAACGGUCGGAGAGAAAUGGCAGUUGGGACCAACUUCCCAUGCCCUGACAGACUGGGCAUGUCAGCCUAUCUCAUCAGGUCUGUCAGGCAGGUCCCAUCAACUAUCUUGCCCUUAGUAAGUGACAGACUGUGAUUGGACCCCAGUUGUCCCAUCAGGUAUGAUGGGGCUUGACGACAAAUACCUCGGUAGCCAAGAUGCACAAGAUGAUGGAGGAGUCGUGACAAGGCUCAUCUCGGCAAAUCGACACUUGAUCAUAGAAAAGGAUGGAUGAGUCGUUCUGAAAGGAGCCGGAGCGUGGAGUCCUAGCCGAAACCACCACCCUCAAUGACCAACCAUGCAAUUGAGGGUGCUUAGGUGUACUGAUUAAAACUUUUGCAAGGUUUUGUAGCAAUUGUAUAUUGGAUUUUUAGUUGCAUUUAUUGUGAUGCUACCCGUAUUUUAAAGUCUCCUCAUUUUUUGGUAACUAUAGAGCAGGAAAAUAAAGGGCAACGAAAAGAAUGUUACUUGACCUUGUGAUCUCAAGACAAUAACGUAUUGUAACUACUCAACGUUGUGGAUUUGGUAAUGGAGUAUCACGGGCAGACUAAAUCAAG